rnacentral:rRNA from 1 species
AUUGAACGCUGGCGGCAGGCCUAACACAUGCAAGUCGAACGAGUGGCGGACGGGUGAGUAAUGUCUGGGAAACUGCCUGAUGGAGGGGGAUAACUACUGGAACCGGUAGCUAAUACCGCAUACCAUCGGAUGUGCCCAGACGGGAUUAGCUAGUAGGUGGGGUAAAGGCUCACCAAGGCGACGAUCCCUAGCUGGUCUGAGAGGAUGACCAGCCACACUGGAACUGGGACACGGUCCGGACUCCUAGGGGAGGCGGCAGUGGGGAAUAUUGCACAGUGGGCGCAAUCCUGAUGCAGCCAUGCCGCGUGUAUGAGGAGGGCCUUCGGGUUGUAAAGUACUUUCAGCGGGGAGGCGUUACCCGCAGAAGAAGCACCGGCUAACUACGUGCCAGCAGCCGCGGUAAUAC